UACGUAGGGGGCAAGCGUUGUCCGGAUUUAUUGGGCGUAAAGAGCGUGUAGGCGGCCAGGUAGGUCUGCUGUGAAAACUCGAGGCUUAACCUCGAGAUGUCGGCGGAAACCAUCUGGCUAGAGUCCGGAAGAGGAGAAUGGAAUUCCUGGUGUAGCGGUGAAAUGCGCAGAUAUCAGGAAGAACACCCGUGGCGAAGGCGGCUCUCUGGGACGGUACUGACGCUGAGACGCGAAAGCGUGGGGAGCGAACAGG
rnacentral:rRNA from 1 species